AGCAGCCGCCGCGGGAAUACGAAGGGUGCAGGUGUUAAUCGGAAUUACUGGGCGUAAAGCGUGCGUAGGCGGUGAGUUAAGUCUGCUGUGAAAUCCCCGGGCUCAACCUGGGAAUGGCAGUGGAUACUGGCUCGCUAGAGUGUGUCAGAGGAUGGUGGAAUUCCCGGUGUAGCGGUGAAAUGCGUAGAGAUCGGGAGGAACAUCAGUGGCGAAGGCGGCCAUCUGGGACAACACUGACGCUGAGGCACGAAAGCAUGGGGAGCGAACAGGAUCAGAUACCCGCGUAGUCCCUGUCUCUUAUAC
rnacentral:rRNA from 1 species